UACGUAGGUGGCAAGCGUUGUCCGGAUUUACUGGGCGUAAAGAGCGCGCAGGCGGUCGAUCAAGUCGCGUGUGAAAGCCCCCGGCUCAACUGGGAGGUCGACGCGAUACUGAUCGACUCGAAGGCAGGAGAGGGUAGUGGAAUUCCCGGUGUAGUGGUGAAAUGCGUAGAUAUCGGGAGGAACACCAGUGGCGAAGGCGAACUACCUGCCUGUUCUUGACGCUGAGGCGCGAAAGCUAGGGGAGCAAAGCGGGG
rnacentral:rRNA from 1 species